GUUUAUUUAAUCACCCUCCUAAAUUUAGUGACAAAACUUAAGUUUCUAAAAUUUCUAUUUGGGAUACCUCUUUUAGUCACAUCAUCACCCUCUUUAGCAGUUUAGGGAUUAAAAGCGACUAAACUUUAUAGCAACUCAUGUGAACCAAUCCAAAAAGAACUUUUACAGUAAGAAGUCUUCUCUACCGCGUCCAACAACUCCCGUAUUUCUCCCAAUCUUUUGGCGAUUACACAAACCGAGCUCAUCCUCCCGCAAAUAUCCAGGAGGGAUCGAAGGAGCUAUGGAGCGGUGCCGUGAGGGGCGUCUGCGGCGCUGGUGUGAGGGUUUGAUUCGGAGGCAGCAGUGGAUCGGCUUAGGAGACAAUGUGGCCUAGCUCGACAAGAACAAGUCCGUCGCAUUGGCGACCAGUUCCUUUGUCGGGUCCAAUCGCCCGACGGCGAUAGAAGGUUUGAAAGAUCCGAUGGUGAAGACCUAGGCUUUACCGGCGUUGAAGAAAUUGCAGGUGAGAUGCAAGGUCAUGUUUCGUUGCAAAAAAUCCUGGUUUUACGCCGCCGUACCGGGGCAACGGCGCCUCCUCAGCAAGAUUUCAACACAUAGACAUGGGCAACACAUUUAUCAAUGGGAAUGGAUUUUUUCCAACAUGAUGAUGGAUGGAAGCAUGCAAGGGGAUGUAGAUAACUAUACCAACACAAGUGUUGCACAGUAUUCACAAGCAAAACCUGUUGGGACACCAGCUCUUAUUGCAAGGCCAAACCAUAAGACAUCCAAAAAAGUUAGUGAUCAGAAAGAUGAAGUACUGGUUUCCGCAUGGUUGAAUGUAAGUUUGGAUCCUGUGGUAGGGAAAUAUAAAAAAGGUGGCAGGUAUUGGUCUCAUAUUUAUGAGUACUUCAAUGAACACAAGCCAUGCCAAUCACAGUGUACCAUUAAUUCUUUAAUGCACCGAUGGGAGACCAUUCAGAAAUGCAAGAAUAAUUUUUGUGGUUGUCUUGCACGGAUUGAGCUACGACAUUAGAGUGGCACCACAAUGCCGGAUAAGGUUGUGAAGGCAUGUGCCUUAUAUAAAUCUGAAGAUGAACAACAUAAGGCAUUUCAAUUCAUGCAUUGUUGGAAAAAGUUGAGGACACAACCAAAAUGGCUUGCUAAAUUUGACAAAUUGGUUGCUGCUAAAACUUAGAACAAGAGACAGAAGACUAGUCCUGAUGGUGAUGCUACUGCAAGGGUACCAAGUGAAACAUGAGCAGGUGAGGUCCAAGGCGUAGAGGAUAUUCAGUUGACAAGGCCUAGUGGAAAGAAAAAAAAGCUAAAGCAACACCGUUACAAGAGAAGAAGAAAAGUGUGACAACAACAUUGGAAAAUAUGUGGGCACAAAAGAGAGAAACUGAUGUUGAGAAAGAGCUAAAAAAGAGGAGUGGUUCAAUAAAGCCUUUGCACUUGAACAGGAGUGAGUUAACAAUGAAAAAGAACUUGUGGAGGUGAGGAAAGAGGAGGUUCAAUUGCAGAAACAAAGAGAUGAAGAGUGGAUUAUGACUAUAUGUCCUCCAUGUGUAACUAAUAUACUUGUGCAUAUGUAUCAUGUUUUUGUGUA